rnacentral:rRNA from 1 species
CAGCACCUCAAGUGGUCAGGAUGAUUAUUGGGCCUAAAGCAUCCGUAGCCGGCGCUGUAAGUUUUCGGUUAAAUCUGUACGCUCAACGUACAGGCUGCCGGGAAUACUGCAGCGCUAGGGAGUGGGAGAGGUAGACGGUACUUGGUAGGAAGGGGUAAAAUCCUUUGAUCUAUUGAUGACCACCUGUGGCGAAGGCGGUCUACCAGAACACGUCCGACGGUGAGGGAUGAAAGCUGGGGGAGCAAACCGGAUUAGAUACCCGAGUAGUCC